ACGUGUUUCUGACCAAAACAGCAGAUACCAAAGUCUCCUGAACCUAAACCUGAACCCAGCUGUGUGUCCUUCAAGAGUGACCAGUCUAAGGAUUUACCUGAGACCUUCAAAGAUAUGCAUCACUCUGUUGAUCCAAGGAGAAAGCUGGAGGAACCAGAACCCAGCUGUGUGUCCAUGAAGAGCGAGCUGUCUAAGGGUUUACCUGUGGCCUCCAAAGAUGGACAUCACUCUGUUGAUCAAAGAGAGGACCAGGAGAUCUCAGAAGUUACCAGUGGUCUGUCUGCUCAGGACUCCAUAUGUAUGGUCUGUACAUGUACAACAACUACUUUUACAUCUAUUUUGUUCACAAUCAUCUGGUGUACUUUAUAGACCAGAAGAUUGUCAUUGUUAUGUUUUUUUAUGUUGCACCAUAGA